rnacentral:rRNA from 1 species
CGGCGACCGGCGCACGGGUGCGUAACGCGUAUGCAACCUGGCCGUGACAGAUGGAUAACCGGGAGAAAUCCCGCCUAAUACAACAUAAUGCCGGGAGGGGACAUCCCCUGCCGGCCAAAGGGGGCGACCCCGGUCACGGAUGGGCAUGCGGCGCAUUAGGUAGUUGGUGGGGCAACGGCCCACCAAGCCGACGAUGCGUAGGGGUUCUGAGAGGAAGGUCCCCCACAUUGGAACUGAGACACGGUCCAAACUCCUACGGGAGGCAGCAG